CCUUAAUCAGGUGCUUCUUUGCUGUUAAGGGUUGGGGGUCUGCAUCCCAUAAGCAGGAGGACCAGCAAAGGAAUGGUGGUUUCCGAGAAGAAAGUCAAAGUGUUGUGGUCAGAAGAGAGACGGUGGAUUCCAGGCAGAAAGAGACAACUGCUGUUUCGUUUUGAGAUUCCGUAAGAAUAUGUCUGUGGGACAAUGGAAGCCUAAGACUGGUAGGUUCUCACGCCUACCCUUCAAAGCCUCUGGAGAUGGGGGAAUGACUGGAGUGGUCCAGAUGAAGGCAGUGAGCCAGCUCAAGGACGGGGUGACCCAGUGGAAGACAGUGGCGGAAACAGGAAGUUCACCGUCUGUUCAGACACAAAGGAGAUGUUAGCAGCACUUUAUUGGAUCCGCUCAAGCAUCAGGAUCUUUUCCAAUGAGUUGGCCUUCAGCUUCAGCAUCAGUCUCCAGGCAAGAAUACUGGAGUGGGUUGCCAUGCCCUCCUCCAGGGGAUCUUCCCGACCCAGGGAUUGAACCCUCUCAUGUCCCUUGCGUUGGCAGGUAGGUUCUUUACCACUAGCACCACCUGGGAAGGCCUUGGUUUUUAUAAAGGAAUGACAUAUUAAAAAUGCUGUUGGAGCCCUUCUCACCAUUUACCCUCUCCCCCAGUCCCUCUCCUCUCCUCUCCUCCUCUGUACUCCCUCCUCAGAAGUAACUCCCCCUGAAUUUGCAUUAAUUGUCCCCAUGCAAGAUUUUUACUAUUAAUACAUAUAUUAAUAUAUAUAUUUUCUGUGAACACUAAUGUGUAUCUAUGCAUGCAUAUAUAACAUAUAAAAUAUAUGUAUGUUUCCUAAACAGCCUUCUUUGCAUGAGUUCACACUUAGCAUCUCUAUCAUCCUAUGCAUACUAUCUACAAUUUCCUUUUCCAGCUCAACUUUAUAUUUUGGAGAUUUAUCCAUGGUGAAACAUUGAGCUCUGUCUCGAGCACUUUAACUGCUGCAUCAUAUUUGUUUGUAUGAAUUUCUGUGUGCACUUUCCUCCCGUGAAUGCUUGCCACCUCCAGUUUUUCACAAAAUGUUGCAGUGUACAUUCCUGUACACGUCCCACCCUGAACACUUCUCUAGCGGGUAGGCUUUCAAGCUGACCUGACUGCCACCAGCUAUCAGAAAUUCAUGUUAUGCUGAGACCCAGUGCAACACUCACAUGUAUACAGAUACACAGUACUCUUAGGACGCU
rnacentral:lncRNA from 1 species